rfam:Methanosphaera stadtmanae DSM 3091, complete genome.
GGGCUCGUAGCUCAGUCUGGGAGAGCGCCUGGCUUUUAACCAGGCGGUCGCGGGUUCAACUCCCGUCGGGCCCG